ACCCUUAUGCCAUACCUUAUCAAAUGCUUUAGUGAAAUCAAGAAAGACCAUACGUACUUCUUUCCCCAUAUCCAAGGCUUGAUAAAUUAGAUGAACAAUAUAGGUCAGUUGGUUAACAGUACUAUCACCAGGUCUGAAUCCAGACUGAAAAUCGCUAAGGAAAUGUAUUUCUAAUAAAAACUCAUACAGCCUUGCAAAUACAAUUUUU